UGAGGAAUAUUGGUCAAUGGGCGCAAGCCUGAACCAGCCAUGCCGCGUGCAGGAAGACGGUCCUAUGGAUUGUAAACUGCUUUUAUUAGGGAAUAAACCUCUUUACGUGUAGAGAGCUGAAGGUACCUAAUGAAUAAGCACCGGCUAACUCCGUG
rnacentral:rRNA from 1 species